rnacentral:rRNA from 1 species
GGAUGCGAUCAUACCAGCACUAAAGCACCGGAUCCCAUCAGAACUCCGAAGUUAAGCGUGCUGGGCGAGAGUAGUACUAGGAUGGGUGACCUCCUGGGAAGUCCUCGUGUUGCAUUCC